UCUUUUAAACUAAGCAAAACAGCCCCAUUAUCUCGACAAGAGGCAUGGAUAAUCGCAAGAGACAUGGAUAAACAAUACAUAUAUGACAAAAUACAUGGAAGAGCAAAUUGUGAGUUUACACACAUUACAAAUCAAAUAAACCUCAUCUUAUAAAAGUUGCAGACUUAAAAAGUUGCAGUCAACCAAGUUCCAUACAUUCGCCCCACAGCUGGCAUUUAGACAAGUGUUCCGGCCUGACCGCAAAAUAAAAUCUGGUACAAUCAACCAUAUAUUUUACUAAUUUACCAAAUAAAAAUUAAAAGACUAUUUAUUAAAACUUGAGCAAAUGCUAUAUGCAUAAUAUUUCAUCAUGUAAAUUGAGCAUUCUCAUAAAGGAAGAGUCUAAGGUCAACAUGAAUAAAUUCCCAAGCUUGAUGGUCAUUAUCCAUAUCUGGGUCUGCAUCCUCCAGAAAUUCUAACCAUCUCACAUAUUCUUCUUCCCAAGCUUCCGAUCAUCCCCGGACCCAGUAACAUCCACCCCAACAUUUUUACUCUUCCUCUCUUUGACUGCUUGUUUUCAAAUAACAAAUAAUAGCUCAGUGAUGAGCCAACAAUGCUUCAUGAAAUAACUUUCCACACCACGUGCAUUUUUGUUUCUCUGGCAACACAUAUUUCCUGUAUUCAGCUUCGACGGGCCAGAACCAAGAUUUGACGGGAAGCCAUGUCAAUUAUUAUUAUUCAAAGAAUUGAUCGAACCUUUAAAAAUGUGGCAAGAAGAAUUGUUUUGAUAAAUAGAGAAUCAAGAGUACUGCAUAUGAAUGUAAAAAUUUAAAUGAACGGUAGACCACGUCUCCUUUUUCCAUGGUAAGAAUCCCUUGAACGAGAUCUGUGAUCCUCCUCCACAACACGCGAUUUGCCCUUAGAUCCUGCCGAUUUGUCCCCGACCACAAUCAUCCUUGUAAGCCCGAUGAUUGUCAUAGUCAUCCUUUUCCUCCCUGUACCCAUGCUCCCUGUACUGGUGGUCCCUGUAGCGGUGCUCCCUGUACCUAUGCUCGCUGUACUGGCGGUAUCGGUUCUCCCUAUAUCCAUGCUCCCUGUCACAUGAUUGCUCUUAUCACCAGGCCUCUUAUCAGAGUCUCCUGACCAGUCACGUUCAUAUCCUUGUUCAGAUUUAUCAAGGCACCUUCCCCUCUUGGAUCCAUGAUACACCAGCACCUUGUUGCUACCUGUCAAGGUAAAGCGGCUAAUCUCAUUUACCCAUUGCGUCACUUUGGCAACCCAAAAGAUGAACUUGGUUGGGGAAAGCUCCAUCCACGGCUUAGCCAGUACAAGUGUGAUGGCU
rnacentral:lncRNA from 1 species